AUUGAACGCUAGCGGCAUGCUUUACACAUGCAAGUCGAACGAGUGGCGGACGGGUGAGUAAUAUAUCGGAACGUGCCCAGUAGCGGGGGAUAACUACUCGAAAGUGUCGCUAAUCCCGCAUACUAUUGGAUGCGCCCAUAUCGGGUUAGCUAGUUUGUGGGGUAAAGGCCCACCAAGGCAACGAUCCGUAGCUGGUUUGAGAGGACGACCAGCCACACUGGGACUGAGACACGGCCCAGACUCCUACGGGAGGCAGCAGUGGGGAAUUUUGGACAAUGGGGGAAACCCUGAUCCAGCCAUCCCGCGUGUAUGAGAAGGCCUUCGGGUUGUAAAGUACUUUUGGCAGAGAAGCGGUAUCUGCAGAAUAAGCACCGGCUAACUACGUGCCAGCAGCCGCGGUAAUUC
rnacentral:rRNA from 1 species